UACGAGGGGGGCAAGCGUUGUUCGGAAUUAUUGGGCGUAAAGGGCGCGUAGGCGGUGCGGUAAGUCUGUUGUGAAAUCUCCGGGCUCAACUCGGAGUCUGCAUCAGAAACUGCCGUGCUCGAGUGUGGGAGAGGUGAGUGGAAUUCCCGGUGUAGCGGUGAAAUGCGUAGAUAUCGGGAAGAACACCCGUGGCUAAGGCGGCUCUCUAGUACGGUACUGACGCUGAGGAGCGAAAGCGUGGGGAGCGAACAGG
rnacentral:rRNA from 1 species